CCUAGCGGAUCUCCGGGAUCCCACAUGAAGCCAGAAGGAUUGAGGCGGGAGGGCCUGGCUUGAAUUUUAUAAUCUGAAUCCCUUCUCGGUGUCGUGAGCCCAGAUCCGUAGUGCGAGUCAGCUACGCACGAGCUACUGGAGCCAAGGCAGCGCCUGAGCUCUCGUCUCGGCUGAGCCUGCCCAGUCUGAAGUGCUGCGGGUUAGGAGAUCUGGUGCCUUGACUCUCACCAGCUGGCUUUCUAUGGAGGGCUCCUAAUAAUAAUAAUACCUAGCGCUGAUGUAGCACUUCCUAGUCAUGUGUUUCUCGGUGUCAGGCAUUUUCAUCCCCAUUUUUCAAACGAGGACCCUAACCCCUGGUUAUGUGGCUUGACAAUGGUCAGAUGGAAAGUUACCAGCAGAAGCAGAACUCAGGUUUACUGCUUCACAGGUUUGGCCUCCCUGUCUGGCGUCUGUCAUCUAGUAGGAUCUCUUCUCCUGCAAAGAGGACCUCUCCCACCCUAAAUAAUAAGGAGUCAAUCAGUAAAGAUCAAAGCGACGGCAGGUGCUUGGGACUUCAAUCCUUGGGCUAAUGGCAAGCCUUUGGAGAGGAGCUCCAAGGAGUCCCUUGAUGUUCCUUUGGGAUCACGAGAAGCAGAACACUCAGUACACUCAGGAGAACAGCGACAGAUGAUGACAAAGGAGCAGCUUGUCAAAGUUCUGGCCUGUGCCUUGGAUCCAGAUGUUCCAAUUGGGAGUAAAAACAGAUGACUGAAUCUGUUUUUUUCCUUGAUGCAAUCUGAUUUAUUACAAGGAACAUACAAAGUCCUACUUCUCUAAUGCAGAAGGAACCAAGAAUAAAAGAAGCAGUUCCUUAGCUUAUAGGCCCAAGUCUCUUUAGCCAACAGACUCAAAAGUUCUCUUGCUAGCUUCCUCCAGGGGCACACUGGGUACCCAAGUUACUGCUUGGUUUUCUUUCUGCCUCUCCUCAGUUACUAGCUUGUCUUUUUUACGCCCCCCAUAAUACCCAAUCAAACCUUUGCCCAGCAGGUGCUAAUUUCUAGCAGAUUUUAUUAGGCCUUGUUUUAAAUGUGACCCCUUAAAUAUUUCUUACAACUGUCUUAAGAAAUGUCUGCACAUUUGUCUGCACAUCAGUUUUAAUUUAACCAAUAACAAGGUUUCACCCACCUCAUAACAAAAUAAUACUAGUGUAAUGAUAUGUUAAAAUGAGUAAAUAAAACUGUUUUAAAAAUCUUCUUAUACGUUAAUAUUUAGUAUUGUUUUAUCAUGCAUAUUUAAAUAAAUAUAUUUUGGUGUAACUCAAAACAAAAGGCUCCUAUAUUGGAGUCUUUAAAAAUAAUUAGCUUAAAUUUAAAAGACUAAACUUGACAUAACCAUGAAAGCAAGGAAAAUUGCUCAGUUGUAUUGCUACAAUGUCAUAUGAACCUGACAAGCAGUGGCUCUCAGUCCUACUGACCUAGGCUAACUGGAAAACCUUCACCUCUCAGCUGAAAGUAAUUAAUCACUAAUAGUUUGCUGUCCCAGGCAAGCAUCUGUUCUUCUUGGAUGACAGGGGCAUCCAUUCUUACUUGCCAGGAGUCAGAGUAGAUGUAUGUAUUUGCAUGACUUUUAUCAUCAAAAAUAGAUGCACACAGUCACAGUAUGUGAUUGUACUUUUAUCUUCCAUAGUAGAUGAAUAAAAUUGCUUGUUAAUUCACUGCAAUAAAAAGUUAGAGUUGAUUAGCUUCAUCUUUA